UUGACAGCUCUAUUUAUAACCAAGGUUUAAGACUAUAUGAGUUGUAGUAUGGAAUAAGGAUGAUGACUUCUGUUUUUUUACUUUACAUUGUGUGCUUUUGUUUAUUUAUUUCUGCUGCAGUGUUUCGGUUGAACUAAAGAGAUUCAUCAUCUCUUUGAGCGUGUUGAUCUUCAUUGUAAUGGUGGCCUUGUUCAUCUGGUUUAUGUUGAAAAGACACAAGCAGACCAAAGCAACAUCAUCUGCCAUGACAGCGAAGUCACAUGCUGAGAGUGAUGUGGACGUGACGUAUAGUUCCGUGGUUACCACGAGGCCACAACGUGUACGAAGGGUUGAAGCAAAUGAUGAGAAUGUUACAUACAGCACAUUGGCUUAGCACAUCACCCCUGCUUGUUACACCUUCGCACUACUUUAUCCUCUUCCACAUACU